rnacentral:rRNA from 1 species
GACGAACGCUGGCGGCGUGCUUAACACAUGCAAGUCGAACGGAAAGGCCCUGCUUUUGUGGGGUGCUCGAGUGGCGAACGGGUGAGUAACACGUGAGUAACCUGCCCUUGACUUUGGGAUAACUUCAGGAAACUGGGGCUAAUACCGGAUAGGAGCUCCUGCUGCAUGGUGUGGGUUGGAAAGUUUCGGCGGUUGGGGAUGGACUCGCGGCUUAUCAGCUUGUUGGUGGGGUAGUGGCUUACCAAGGCUUUGACGGGUAGCCGGCCUGAGAGGGUGACCGGCCACAAUGGGACUAAGAUACGGCCCAGACUCGUACGGGAGGCAGCAGUGGGGAAUAUUGCACAAUGGGCGGAAGCCUGAUGCAGCAACGCCGCGUGCGGGAUGACGGCCUUCGGGUUGUAAACCGCUUUCGCCUGUGACGAAGCGUGAGUGACGGUAAUGGGUAAAGAAGCACCGGCUAACUACGUG